rnacentral:rRNA from 1 species
CCGACCCGCACGAAAGGCGUAACGAUUUGGGCACUGUCUCAACGAGAGACUCGGUGAAAUCAUAGUACCUGUGAAGAUGCAGGUUACCCGCGACAGGACGGAAAGACCCCGUGGAGCUUUACUGUAGUCUGAUAUUGAAAUUCGUCACAGCUUGUACAGGAUAGGUAGGAGCCUUUGAUACGUGAGCGCUAGCUUACGUGGAGGCGUUGUUGGGAUACUACCCUCGCUGUGUUGGAUUUCUAACCCGCACCAUUUAUCAUGGUGGGAGACAGUGUCAGAUGGGCAGUUUGACUGGGGCGGUCGCCUCCUAAAGAGUAACGGAGGCGCUCAAAGGUUUCCUCAGAAUGGUUGGAAAUCAUUCAUAGAGUGUAAAGGCAUAAGGAAGCUUGACUGCGAGACUUACAAGUCGAGCAGGGUCGAAAGACGGACUUAGUGAUCCGGUGGUUCCGCAUGGAAGGGCCAUCGCUCAACGGAUAAAAGCUACCCCGGGGAUAACAGGCUUAUCUCCCCCAAGAGUUCACAUCGACGGGGAGGUUUGGCACCUCGAUGUCGGCUCAUCGCAUCCUGGGGCUGUAGUCGGUCCCAAGGGUUGGGCUGUUCGCCCAUUAAAGCGGUACGCGAGCUGGGUUCAGAACGUCGUGAGAC